rnacentral:rRNA from 1 species
GAUGAACGCUAGCGGCAGGCCUAACACAUGCAAGUCGAGGGGCAGCACGUCUUCGGAUGGUGGCGACCGGCGCACGGGUGCGUAACGCGUAUGUAACCUACCUCUUACAGUGGGAUAGCCCAGAGAAAUUUGGAUUAAUACCGCAUAGUAUACAGAUUCGGCAUUGGGACUGUAUUAAACAUUUAUGGGUAAGAGAUGGGCAUGCGUUCUAUUAGUUAGUUGGAGUGGUAACGGCACCCCAAGACAGCGAUAGAUAGGGGCCCUGAGAGGGGGAGUCCCCCACACUGGUACUGAGACACGGACCAGACUCCUACGGGAGGCAGCAGUGAGGAAUAUUGGACAAUGGGCGAGAGCCUGAUCCAGCCAUGCCGCGUGCAGGAAGACGGCCCCUAUGGGUCGUAAACUGCUUUUGUACGGGAAGAAACACCCCCUCGUGAGGGGGCGUUGACGGUACCGUAAGAAUAAGGAUCGGCUAACUCCGUGCCAGCAGCCGCGUAA